AUCCUAGUGUGUUCAUCGCUUGCCAGCAUUCUUUCCCAGUAUUGGUUUCUAUGGGUUAUGAUUUAGCUUUGUUUCCUGUUUUUUUGGAUUUUUGCCAUGUGGCCUAAUAGGAAGAGUCCUAUUCUAGUGGAUGUUGAGCAGAGGACCAGUGCAGGAAGGGUCAGAAAUCCUGCAGCAGAUGCCAUGAAAGACAUGAGACGCUUCCUGGCAGAACCCCUCUUCUCCAGACAUGCAGACUCUCUUGGUGAAAAUCACAGCAGAUGAAAGCAGAAAUACAAUUUGAUCUACAGAGAGAAAUUUUAAAACAAAGCCAAAGCCAUUGCACUGUCUGCAUAUCAUUGUGAGGC